GGGAUGGGAUGGAGGGUGUUCUGGAGGAGAAAUCGGGAAAAAGGAUAACAAUUGAAAUGUAAAUAAAAUAUCCAAUAAAAAAAAGAAAGAAAAGAUUUACUAUUUAUUUAUAUGUGUGCCUUGGUGCCAGAAAAGGUCAGAAAAAGGUAUCAGGCUCCCUGUAACUGGAGUUCCAGGAGCUUGUGCAUGGACUGCACAACAUGAGCAUUGGGAACUGAGCCGUCCUCAGUAAGAGCAGAAAGUGCUGUUAACAUCUGAGCCAUCUUUCUAGCUUCCACUUUUUUCUUCUUCAUCAGACACUUUGUAUUUAAUAUAUGCUAAAAACCAAACCAAAAAUAAAAGUCAGUGACUGAGACAAGAUUUCAACAGAAGUUCCCUUGGGCAGAACAAUGCCUGUUGCCCUUGAUGUCCUGUAUUCACUAGAGUGCUGCAGCAUUUAGAGAGAUUGUGGCCUGAGACAGGGGCUUGUCACAUAGUGCAGGCUGCCCUCAACCUCUUGAUCCUGAUAACUCUGUCUCACAAGUGUUCCAGGAGUGUGACUAUGCCAGUAUGAAGAUUGGUAUUUAUCAGGGAGCGAAACUGUUUCAAAACUGGAUUUUCAGCUGUCCUUUAGAAGUUCUUGAGGAGUCCAAUGCUUUAAGAGGUGACAUUUCCUCCUCAGGACUGGUUUUAGUGUUGUUCCAGUUGUGGGCAUUUGCAUUUGUCCCGUGGCUUAUUCCCACAGCACUGGGUGCAAACUUCAGUUACUAUGCUGCAGCACUUAACUAUCCAAACCAAAGACCAUCACAAGUGUAAGGAGUGUCCUGUGUCCUAACCUGUAGGACAGUUACAGCGGAGGCAACUGGCACACAGAAUUUGUUGUGCACUUUAGUAGGAUUGUAUUGUUUCCCGUGGCUAGAGUGUAAGAAUGCUCAUCAGGGUGGACUGGGGAAAUUGAGGGAGUAUAAAGGAAAUAGUAUGGUUUGAAAUUGGUGCUUGGAACUAAGUUAUUGGGUCUGUUUCUGUCUGUCUUCCUGUGAAAUGUGUACACCUGCAUAUAACAGAACAUUGAAUUGUAAGCUUAGACUAGAAGGGUGGUGCUCUGUGAAGAUACAAACCCGUUUGACCCCAUUUGGAAAAAAGACAGAGUGGGAACAAUACUUGCUACCGCAGUGCUCCUCCGUUCACAGCUGGACCUGAGUUGUGCCCACACUUCUUCCCUUCUGCUCUGUGGAUAUUUUCUAGUAAAGCAUGCUUUUAUGCUACGAGCAUAAAAACUACUUGAUUGGCAGUUGCCCAAGUGCUGGGAAGCCUGCUUUCCUGCUCUUCAGCAAAGCCAAGUUCAGACAUUUCUUUGGAGUUUGUGUGUCCAAAAAUUGAUUACAGGGCCCCCUCUAGUGACUGAAAUCAACAAGGACACAAAUCUCUCCCAGACCUGGGAAGAUUUAGAAUUAAGCUACAGGGAAGUAAAUUUUUUUAAUUGUUUUUAAUUUUUAUUUUUAAAGGGAAUUUUUUUUCAUUUUUAGAAGGUUAUUGAUGUCAAGAAUAGGUCCAAGAUUGAGGCUAUCCAAACAACAGCGGGUCAAAAGCUCUAUUUACCUUUUUAGAAAUCGGUGCUUUAAAAUGGAAAUGGAAUAAGGCUGUGCUACACAGGGUUCUUUGUUGUUUGUUACGGUUGUUUCUGGCUUAAUGAAGCUUUAAAAAGUUUUUUUUUUUUUUAAUCUAGAGUUCUUUAUGAUAUCAACUUCAUUUUUUGAUCAUUUUUGAAAGCAGCAGUUUUAUUGAAGAAGGAAAAAAAAAGCUUUAAAACAGCAUUCUCAUGAAAGUAUUAGGUUUUUGCUGUCCUGGUAACAGCAUAUGAUCCUUCUGUGGAUGUCCUUUAUACCCAACGGUAUGUUUUAAUGGCUCCUUUUGUUUCUCAGUUAAGGAAAUGAGGAAAUUCUUAAACUUCUGGAUCUCUGCCAUCUCUCCUAAACACUCACCGCCCCAACACACAGGCCUUCAGCUACGAGCCUUUAAAGGGCUCUCAUUUGACCCUCGGGCCUUUGUAGCUUGAACAAGGAAAGCAGUGUUCCAAGAGCCCUAGCAUUGCUGAAUGCUCUGGUGAAAAUAUUUCAUGGACAUGGAGUACAGGCGCCUUCAUCUUAUAGUGGAGAUCUCUGUGACAAAAUGCAAGGGUGGAUUAUAACCCUGUUUGGUGUGGUUCAUCUUCCCAGCUACGUUUGAAUGCUUUUAGCUGCCCACAACCAUGCAGUCUUUAGCCACCAGAAUAAACAAAAGUGUCAGAUCCAUCAUUUUGUAUUAUCUUAAAUUGUAGAUCUGGUUUUGGCUGGCUUGCCUUCAUUUUGUUUCCAUUGUUGAUAAAAAUUAAGGAGAAGAGCAACACCAUUAUUUAUAUAUAAAUUGUUGUCAACAGAAUCAUCUCUGGAAUAUUAGGAAAAUUCAUUAAAAGUCUUCAAGAGCCCCAAAAGUUGUGGGUUCCUAAGGAAAUAACUUUUAGUUAUAUUAUCGCAUUAGUUGUGCAGUUGGAGGGGGUGUCCCUGGCAUUCAGGGGACACUUUUCUUGGUAGAGUCCUGUUGUGGGUGUCGGUGUAGGAGCUGCACUGUUUGUUCUGUGACCUGACCAACUGUCUAUAUGUGACUGUCUCAGUGCUGAUGUGGAUCUGUUUGUCAGUGACUUAACUAAGCUAAACUCCUUGAAGGAACGAAUGGCAGCAGACAAGGUCUAAAAGCGCUGAGCCUUGAUCCUUCCGUAUUUAGAAAACAACUUUUGAUGACUUUUAAAAAGCCACAUAGCAAAAGAAGGGAGGAUAUAUGAGUAGUAGCUAUCUAAAUCUGAUUUUAUUCACUCAUUUAUUAGUUUUGAUUUUGUGUUGCUGUGUUCAUCUGUUAGAACACACAUUCAGUAGUAAUGGGAACUAUAUACAUCAGAUGAACUCACAUUUUUAUGGCUUUUCUUCCUUCAGAUCCCAUACACAUGGCUGUUU
rnacentral:lncRNA from 1 species